CCUACGGGCGGCAGCAGUGAGGAAUAUUGGUCAAUGGACGAGAGUCUGAACCAGCCAAGUAGCGUGAAGGAUGACUGCCCUAUGGGUUGUAAACUUCUUUUAUAUGGGAAUAAAAUGUUCCACGUGUGGGAUUUUGUAUGUACCAUAUGAAUAAGGAUCGGCUAACUCCGUGCCAGCAGCCGCGGUAAUACGGAGAAUCCGAGCGUUAUCCGGAUUUAUUGGGGUUAAAGGGAGCGUAGGUGGAUUGUUAAGUCAGUUGUGAAAGUUUGCGGCUCAACCGUAAAAUUGCAGUUGAAACUGGCAGUCUUGAGUACAGUAGAGGUGGGCGGAAUACGUGGUGUAGCGGUGAAAUGCUUAGAUAUCACGCAGAACUCCGAUUGCGAAGGCAGUUCACUGGACUGCAACUGACACUGAGGCUCGAGAGUGUGGGUAUCAAACAGGAUUAGAUACCCUGGUAGUC
rnacentral:rRNA from 1 species